rnacentral:rRNA from 1 species
CACGUAGGGUGCGAGCGUUGUCCGGAAUUAUUGGGCGUAAAGAGCUCGUAGGCGGUGUGUCGCGUCGGCCGUGAAAACCUGCAGCUUAACUGCGGGCUUGCGGUCGAUACGGGCAUCACUGGAGUUCGGCAGGGGAGACUGUAAUUCCUGGUGUAGCGGUGAAAUGCGCAGAUAUCAGGAGGAACACCGGUGGCGAAGGCGGGUCUCUGGGCCGAUACUGACGCUGAGGAGCGAAAGCGUGGGGAGCGAACAGG